GCCAGACUCCUACGGGAGGCAGCAGUGGGGGAUAUUGCACAAUGGGGGAAACCCUGAUGCAGCGACGCCGCGUGAGCGAAGAAGUAUUUCGGUAUGUAAAGCUCUAUCAGCAGGGAAGAAAAAAAUGACGGUACCUGAGUAAGAAGCACCGGCUAAAUACGUGCCAGCAGCCGCGGUAAUACGUAGGGGGCAAGCGUUAUCCGGAUUUACUGGGUGUAAAGGGAGCGUAGACGGUAGAGCAAGUCUGAAGUGAAAGCCCGCGGCUCAACUGCGGGACUGCUUUGGAAACUGUUCAACUGGAGUGCUGGAGAGGUAAGCGGAAUUCCUAGUGUAGCGGUGAAAUGCGUAGAUAUUAGGAGGAACACCAGUGGCGAAGGCGACUUACUGGACAGUAACUGACGUUGAGGCUCGAAAGCGUGGGGAGCAAACAGGAUUAGAUACCCUUGUA
rnacentral:rRNA from 1 species